CAAGUCUGGUGCCAGCAGCCGCGGUAAUUCCAGCUCCAAUAGCGUAUAUUAAAGUUGUUGCAGUUAAAAAGCUCGUAGUUGAUUUUCUGUUAAUUUUUAUGUAUAAUAUUGCGAUAUUUACAUAAUAUUAACAUAAUUCACAUUACUUUAYRGUAUGUGGAAUUUUACUUUGAGAAAAUUAGAGUGCUUAAAGCAGGCUAUUGCCUUGAAUACUCCAGCAUGGAAUAAUAUUAAGGAUUUUUAUUCUUCUUAUUGGUUCUAGAAUAAAAAUAAUGAUUAAUAGGAACAGUUGGGGGCAUUUGUAUUUAACAGUUAGAGGUGAAAUUCUUAGAUUUGUUAAAGACAAACUACUGCGAAAGCAUUUGCCAAGGAUGUUUUCAUUAAUCAAGAACGAAAGUUAGGGGAUCGAAGACGAUCAGAUACCGUCGUAGUCUUAACCAUAAACUAUGCCAACUAGAGAUUGGAGGUUGUUCCUUACUCCUUC
rnacentral:rRNA from 1 species